GUUCCCUAUGAUGUUUCAAACCAUGCUAAUAUUGAGACUUCAUCAUUGAUGAAUAUCUUAUUUUAAUGUUUUGAAGGAACU